rnacentral:rRNA from 1 species
AGGAAUGUAUAGCAAUAGCUACUUACAUUAUAGUAAUAAUGAUGUAAGAUCGACUUAGUCGAAUAAAGUUCUAGGUAUAAUUUUGAUAAUGACAUUAUAUGCCUAUGUGUCUUGACCAAUUACGUGCCAGCAGUCGCGGUAAUACGUAUAAGGCUAGCGUUAUUCAUGUUUAAUCGGUUUAAAGGGUACCUAGACGGCAGAUCAAGCUUAUGUAAAAAAAAGGACUAAUCUGCUAGAGUUACUAGUGAGGGGGCUAUAAAGUACUGCUGGUGUAGGGAUGAAAUAUUUUGAUACCUGAAAAUUAUGGCACAGGUAAAGGCGAAGGCAUCCCCUUAUGAGAUAACUGACGUUGAAGGACGAAGGACA